rnacentral:rRNA from 1 species
GGAGGAUCCAAGCGUUAUCCGGAAUCAUUGGGUUUAAAGGGUCCGUAGGCGGUUUAGUAAGUCAGUGGUGAAAGCCCAUCGCUCAACGGUGGAACGGCCAUUGAUACUGCUAGACUUGAAUUAUUAGGAAGUAACUAGAAUAUGUAGUGUAGCGGUGAAAUGCUUAGAGAUUACAUGGAAUACCAAUUGCGAAGGCAGGUUACUACUAAUGGAUUGACGCUGAUGGACGAAAGCGUGGGUAGCGAACAGGAUUAGAUACCCUGGUAGUCCACGCCGUAAACGAUGGAUACUAGCUGUUGGGAGCGAUCUCAGUGGCUAAGCGAAAGUGACAAGUAUCCCACCUGGGGAGUACGUUCGCAAGAAUG